GGCGAACGGGUGAGUAACACGUUGGGAACCUACCCCCCUGAUCGGAAUACCCAAGGGAAACUUUGGUUAAUGCCGAAUACGUGGUUCUGGGAUAACCUGGAGUCAUAAAAGGCGGCCUUAAAGCCGCGCAGAGGGAUGGACCUGCGGCGCAUUAGCUAGUAGGUGAGAUAAUAGCCCACCUAGGCGAGGAUGCGUAGCCGACCUGAGAGGGUGAACGGCCACACUGGAACUGAGACACGGUCCAGACUCCUACGGGAGGCAGCAGUAGGGAGUAUUCGGCAAUGGGGGAAACCCUGACCGAGCAACGCCGCGUGAAUGAUGACGGCCUUCGGGUUGUAAAAUUCUGUGGCGAGGAACGAAUGGCAAGGAGAGGAAAUGCUCUUUGUUUGACGGUACCUCGCUAGAAAGCCACGGCUAACUACGUGCCAGCAGCCGCGGUAAUACGUAGGUGGCAAGCGUUAUCCGGAAUUAUUGGGCGUAAAGAGUGAGCAGGCGGUUUUUUAAGUCUGAAGUCAAAUCCUGUGGCUCAACCACAGUUCGCUUUGGAAACUGAAGAACUAGAGUGCGGGAGAGGUAAGCGGAAUUCCAUAUGUAGCGGUGAAAUGCACAGAUAUAUGGAGGAACACCGGUGGCGAAGGCGGCUUACCAGCCCGAUACUGACGCUCAGUCACGAAAGCGUGGGGAGCAAAUAGGCUUAGAUACCCUAGUAGUCCACGCCGUAAACGUUGAGGACCUGAUGCCGGAGUAUUUCGGUGUCGUAGCUAACGCGUUAAGUCCUCCGCCUGGGUACUACGUUCGCAAGAAUAAAACUUAAAGGAAUUGACGGGGGCCCGCAC
rnacentral:rRNA from 1 species